rnacentral:miRNA from 1 species
AUGCAAAUCACAUGGUGUUCUUACUAAAAUGCAAAUUUUGAUUCAGUCUGUCUUGAGUAUGUCUAAGAUUAUGCAUUUUUAACAAGCUCCUUGGUGAUGCUAAU